rnacentral:lncRNA from 1 species
GAUAAAUUCUACUUGCAUCUUCAUGAGCAGAUUUUGGACAAAGUUAUUCCAUAUGCAGGGUACUAAAUUGAAAAGGAGUACGACAUAUCACCCACAAACCAACAGCCAGACAGAAGUUUUAAAUAGGUGCUUGGAGACAGCCCAAAGCCAUCCACCAAAUAUGACUACCCAAAGAGAACUCCAGACCCAGCCAAGUGCCAUUAUUGAUCGACGGAUC